GACCCGUGUAAACCACGUGAUCGUGCACGCGGAAAAGCAGUGUUUGACCAAGGCGCGAGAAUGUGAGAUACUGGUGAUCAUUGCCAAAGUCGUGUUGCCUGUGGAGAAGUUGAUGUUUGAUCAUCUUGUACUGCUUCAGUUCGUGUGGUGAAGGUGCUCCCAUGAUUCAGCUGCUGCGCACUUUUACUGUUGGAGCUGAUGCAUGUGCUACUACAAUGCGGUAGUUCAUUGAAAGAAGGCCUUUCCUAAUAGGAGAGAGGAAGAAUCCAGUGACAUAAUUAGAAUCCAUCAAGACUAACAUCAAUGGCAUUCACUCGACAAACAGGUCCAGUUUAGCGCCUCUCAAUACAGCACCUUCAGUUCACAGUGAUAAGUAGAUUGGAUUGGUUGUUGACAUCGCUGGCUACUGUUCUUAUCUCACCUUGUCUACUGCUGUAACGAAGUCGGUGGUGAGGGCGAACGAUGGGUGUUUUCUUUUCGCAGGGUGGAUGGAACUAUAUCACAAAAUGUUCUUCAGUUACUUUUUUUUCAAAUGAAUUAACAAAUAUCUCAUAGCAGGUCAUUUGCUGUAAAGCAGUAAUAUUAACUUUUUUUUUCUUCAGAUGAAAGCCAAACAUGUACCAUAUGUGCAAUAACCUUGUUCAUUAAAACCCAUGGAUUAUUGAGUACGAGACAGAAUGAAAUGACAUUGGCUAGGGGACAGAAAUGA